rnacentral:rRNA from 1 species
AUUGAACGCUGGCGGCAGGCCUAACACAUGCAAGUCGAGCGGCAGCGGAAAGUAGCUUGCUACUUUGCCGGCGAGCGGCGGACGGGUGAGUAAUGUCUGGGAAACUGCCUGACGGAGGGGGAUAACUACUGGAAACGGUAGCUAAUACCGCAUAACGUCGCAAGACCAAAGAGGGGGACCUUCGGGCCCCUUGCCAUCAGAUGUGCCCAGAUGGGAUUAGCUAGUAGGUGGGGGAACGGCUCACCUAGGCGACGAUCCCUAGCUGGUCUGAAGGAAUCACCAGCCACCCUGGAACGGGAACACGGUGCACACUCCGAUGGGAGGCAGCAAUGGGGAAUAUUGCAAGAUGGGGGCAAGCCUGGUGCAGCCAUGCCGCGUGUAUGAAGAAGGCCUUCGGGUUGUAAAGUACUUUCAGCGGGGAGGAAGGUGUUGAGGUUAAUAACCUCAGCAAUUGACGUUACCCGCAGAAGAAGCACCGGCUAACUCCGUGCCAGCAGCCGCCGCAGUAA